UACGUAGGGACCAAGCGUUGUUCGGAUUUACUGGGCGUAAAGGGCGCGUAGGCGGCGCGGUAAGUCACUUGUGAAAUCUCUGAGCUUAACUCAGAACGGCCAAGUGAUACUGCAGUGCUAGAGUGCAGAAAGGGCAAUCGGAAUUCCUGGUGUAGCGGUGAAAUGCGCAGAUAUCAGGAGGAACACCGGUGGCGAAGGCGGGUCUCUGGGCCGAUACUGACGCUGAGGAGCGAAAGCGUGGGGAGCGAACAGG
rnacentral:rRNA from 1 species